rnacentral:rRNA from 1 species
CACGUAGGGUGCGAGCGUUGUCCGGAAUUAUUGGGCGUAAAGAGCUCGUAGGCGGUGUGUCGCGUCGGCCGUGAAAACCUGCAGCUUAACUGUGGGCGUGCGGUCGAUACGGGCAUCACUGGAGUUCGGCAGGGGAGACUGGAAUUCUCGGUGUAGCGGUGAAAUGCGCAGAUAUCAGGAGGAACACCGGUGGCGAAGGCGGGUCUCUGGGCCGAUAUCGACGCUGAGGAGCGAAAGCGUGGGGAGCGAACAGG